GACGAACGCUGGCGGCGUGCUUAACACAUGCAAGUCGAACGGAAAGGCCCUGCCUUUGUGGGGUGCUCGAGUGGCGAACGGGUGAGUAACACGUGAGUAACCUGCCCUUGCCUUUGGGGUAACUUCAUGAAACUGGGGCUAAUACCGGAUAGGAGUUCCCGCUGCAUGGUGGGGGUUGGAAAGUUUCGGCGGUUGGGGAUGGACGAGCGGGUGAUGAGCUUGUUGGUGGGGUAGUGGCUGACCAAGGAUUGGACGGGUAGCCGGCCGGAGAGGGUGACCGGCCACAUAGGGUGGGAGUGACGCCCCAGCCUCAUACGGGCGGCAGGAGGCGGGAGUGUUGAACAAUGGGCGGAAGCCUGAUGCAGCAACGCAGGGUGCGGGAUGGAGGCAUGCGGGUUGGAAGUCGAUUUCGCCUGCCCCGAAGCGUGAGGGCCGUUACGGGGGAAUGAAGCACCGCUUAAUUCCGG
rnacentral:rRNA from 1 species